rnacentral:sRNA from 1 species
GCCAGGUGCGGUGGCGCACACCUGUAAUCCCAGCAGCUCAGGAGGCUAAAACAGGAGGAUCCGAGAGUUCAAAGCCAGCCUCAGCAACUUAGCGAGGCACUAAGCAACUCAGUGAGACCUUGUCUCUA